rnacentral:rRNA from 1 species
CACACUGGGACUGAGACACGGCCCAGACUCCUACGGGAGGCAGCAGUGGGGAAUAUUGCACAAUGGGCGCAAGCCUGAUGCAGCGACGCCGCGUGAGGGAUGACGGCCUUCGGGUUGUAAACCUCUUUCAGCAGGGGAGAAGCGAAAGUGACGGUACCUGCAGAAGAAGCGCCGGCUAACUACGUGCCAGCAGCCGCGGUAAUACGUAGGGCGCGAGCGUUGUCCGGAAUUAUUGGGCGUAAAGAGCUUGUAGGCGGUUUGUCGCGUCUGCUGUGAAAGCCCGGGGCUUAACCCCGGGUUUGCAGUGGGUACGGGCAGACUAGAGUGCAGUAGGGGAGACUGGAAUUCCUGGUGUAGCGGUGAAAUGCGCAGAUAUCAGGAGGAACACCAAUGGCGAAGGCAGGUCUCUGGGCUGUAACUGACGCUGAGAAGCGAAAGCAUGGGGAGCAAACAGGAUUAGAUACCCUGGUAGUCCAUGCCGUAAACGUUGGGCACUAGGUGUGGGGAACAUUCCACGUUUUCCGCGCCGUAGCUAACGCAUUAAGUGCCCCGCCUGGGGAGUACGGCCGCAAGGCUAAAACUCAAAGAAAUUGACGGGGGCCCGCACAAGCGGCGGAGCAUGCGGAUUAAUUCGAUGCAACGCGAAGAACCUUACCAAGGCUUGACAUAUACUAGACCGCCUCAGAGAUGGGGUUUCCCUUCGGGGCUGGUAUACAGGNGGUGCAUGGUUGUCGUCAGCUCGUGUCGUGAGAUGUUGGGUUAAGUCCCGCAACGAGCGCAACCCUCGUUCUAUGUUGCCAGCACGUAUUGGUGGGGACUCAUAGGAGACUGCCGGGGGUAACUCGGAGGAAGGUGGGGAUGACGUCAAAUCAUCAUGCCCCUUAUGUCUUG